rnacentral:rRNA from 1 species
GAUGAACGCUGGCGGCGUGCCUAAUACAUGCCAGUCGAGCGAACGGACGAGAAGCUUGCUUCUCUGAUGUUAGCGGCGGACGGGUGAGUAACACGUGGAUAACCUACCUAUAAGACUGGGAUAACUUCGGGAAACCGGAGCUAAUACCGGAUAAUAUUUUGAACCGCAUGGUUCAAAAGUGAAAGACGGUCUUGCUGUCACUUAUAGAUGGAUCCGCGCUGCAUUAGCUAGUUGGUAAGGUAACGGCUUACCAAGGCAACGAUGCAUAGCCGACCUGAGAGGAGGAUCGGCACCCGGGGAGCGAGGAAGCGGGCCAACACCUGCGGGGAGGAACGGGCGGGAAUCCUUCCGGAGGGGGCAAAGGCCGACAGGGCAAACGCGGGGGGAGGGGGAAGGGGCUUCGGUGCGUAAAACCCUUUGUUGGGGGAAAAAAAAAUUGCGAAUGAACGGGAAGAAUCUGACGGGACCCAAAAAGGAAGCCCCGGCUAACUACGUG